CACGGCCUAUCAGCUUGUUGGUGAGGUAAUGGCUCACCAAGGCUACGACGGGUAGCUGGUCUGAGAGGAUGGCCAGCCACAUUGGGACUGAGACACGGCCCAGAUUCCUACGGGAGGCAGCAGUGGGGAAUAUUGCGCAAUGGGCGGAAGCCUGACGCAGCGACGCCGCGUGGGGGAUGACGGCCUUCGGGUUGUAAACCUCUUUCAGCAGGGACGAAGCGAAAGUGACGGUACCUGCAGAAGAAGCACCGGCCAACUACGUGCCAGCAGCCGCGGUAAUACGUAGGGUGCAAGCGUUGUCCGGAAUUAUUGGGCGUAAAGAGCUCGUAGGCGGUUCGUCGCGUCGGCUGUGAAAUCCCGAGGCUCAACCUCGGGCCUGCAGUCGAUACGGGCGGACUUGAGUUCGGCAGGGGAGACUGGAAUUCCUGGUGUAGCGGUGAAAUGCGCAGAUAUCAGGAGGAACACCGGUGGCGAAGGCGGGUCUUUGGGCCGAAACUGACGCUGAGGAGCGAAAGCGUGGGGAGCGAACAGGAUUAGAUACCCUGGUAGUCCACGCCGUAAACGUUGGGCGCUAGGUGUGGGGCUCAUUCCACGAGUUCCGUGCCGCAGCUAACGCAUUAAGCGCCCCGCCUGGGGAGUACGG
rnacentral:rRNA from 1 species